rnacentral:rRNA from 1 species
CAGCAGCCGCGGGAAUACAGAGGGUGCAAGCGUUAAUCGGAAUUACUGGGCGUAAAGCGCGCGUAGGUGGUUCGCCAAGUUGGAUGUGAAAUCCCCGGGCUCAACCUGGGAACUGCAUCCAAAACUGGCGAGCUAGAGUAUGGUAGAGGGUGGUGGAAUUUCCUGUGUAGCGGUGAAAUGCGUAGAUAUAGGAAGGAACAUCAGUGGCGAAGGCGACCACCUGGACUGAUACUGACACUGAGGUGCGAAAGCGUGGGGAGCAAACAGGAUUAGAUACCCGCGUAGUCCCUGUCUCUUAUAC